AGAGAAAGGACAAGGUCAAGUGGAAUCCGGCCCUUCGGAAAGUCCCCAAGGCAUGGGUAGUCUCCGCACCUGAACGUGAGCCCCCCACUUGCUCUGGGCCAGAGGACUGAGAAGGGCGUGUGGGCAAAAGCAUGCUUUCCUGGAAACACAUAUAGGACGAUGACCACGGGAGUUGUACACUUCUGGUGUGACACGGCAACUGGCUCUGGAGAAGCCAGCUACACGCGGAGCCCACGUUUUAAGACGGUGCUAUGGAAUUGCCGUGGGUUUGGCGUGUGUACACAUGCUGGAAAAACACUGUGUCGAAGAACGCUCCAGCCAAAUGGUGUUAUUGGCUUUCCACAAGAGGUGGGCACAGUGUCAGUCUCAGGUAACUUGUGGUGGAAGAAGCAACAGAGCUCGUUGUUGCAGAAGGAAGGUGAAGACGUGCAGGCAACCUGGACUAUCUGUGGUUUAGAUGAAGGUGACGGCCAGCCCGCGCCCAUGGGGAUGCUGUGCCCGCACCAUGGACUCCCCACUCUCAGCACCCUCCCCAGAAGACAGCACCCUAUCUCCCUACUCUCCCGGUCACCGCUCCAGUUCUGUCCAAGGAACCUUUUCCAACCAAAGGACCUGUGCACCUGAUGGGGGUGGGGGGAGCUCCUGUUAUUGUCAUAAAUCACAAGUGCAUUUCUAUUGCAGAUCCCACGGCCCAGAGCAACGCUAAUCGCAUGAAUGAAAAAAACGGGGUGCUCUCUAUGUAACCAACACACUGCUGGGGAGAGAGUAAUACAAAUUAUCUUCAACAUAAAAUUACACUACUAAAGACUAUGUUCCUAAAAUCUACAACAACAAAAAACUAUGUUCCUAUUACAGUCACCCUCUAAUUGCAACCACUGCAGAAGUGACUCGAUCGUGGAGCUCCAAUUGCUUAAAUGGGCCAGAAGACUUAGUGACUUUAGCCCAUUUGAUUCCCCAAAUUUUUCUGCAAAAGAAAAUAUUACACACACACCUAUACUAAAUAUAGAAAAUAUAGUUAUACAUAUAAACAGGACACACAAAGGAGUACCCGUCAAACUGUUGGAAUCUGGGGGAAAAAAAAAUCUGAUAAAAUCUGAAUAAGAUGGAUGGACUGUACCAGCAUCCGUGUCCUGGCUGUGAUCCUGGACUGUAGCUUCACUAGACAGUACCGUGGAGGGGGAAACAAGGGUGGGGAAUCUACAAUUACCUCAAAAUAAAGUUUAAAAAUACUGCCGUGACUGUGCAAUAACCUACAUGGGAAAAGAAUCUGAAAAGAGAUGGGUAUGUGUAUAUGCAGAACUGAGUUACUUUGCUGUAAAUUAACACAACUUUGUAAGUCAGCUAUAUAAAAUAACAUAUUCAAAAAUCUAAGACUUAGAUUUUUUACCACUUGUAGAAAAUGAAAAUUUGCAUAAAUAUUCCUUUGUAUAUGAUCUAAAAUUACCAGAUGAUAAUACAAAUAUUCACUAUAAAAAAUACUGCCUUUAAAGUGAAUAUCUAUAAAUUCUCCAUUGACUUUCACUGGGUUGCACUGAAAUAUACUCCUACGGGGAGUAAACUAAUACAUAAUGGGAAAAAUAAAACUGUUUAGACAAAAAGAAAAAUAAUAUUGGAAAUAAGAAGGGGAAAAGAAGUGGUUUUCCAGUGGAAACAAAUAUUACUCAGGGAGUCACCCUGCAUUUUCACCCAAAAUGCAGUCUGAUGUUCUGCUUUUAUAUUUUGAGAGCAUGUGUUUUCCUAAAAGAAAAAAAGAAGCAAAAAGAGAGGGCAAACACCCAUAAUUUCACCCCAAAUUACAGCUAUGCUCUUAUUUCACUUGCAGGUCGCUCCACGUACAGCAACAUGUUUCUCACGGUCAGAAACGCAGUGUGUAUAACAUUCUGUGACUUGUUUUUAGCAUCAUAGGAUAAACAUUUUCAUGCAGCUCCAUAACCUCCCUCAUUGCUGAAUUUCAAUGGCUGCACGUGAUCCUGUUGAGUGUACUACGAUAUAAUGAAUUAGCCUUCUAUUAUUGAUUCUUUGGUUUGCUUCUAACUGGGUGCUAUAAUAUUGGUCAAACUGACCACUGUACAGAUAACUUGUUCUACUCUUAUAGUUAUUACUCCUACAGUUAUUUUCUUCAGGAGAGGAAGUUCAGAUUUCUGGAAGUCGAAUUACUGGCUCAAAAGAUAGGAAAGCUCUACUUGUAUAGCUUUUUCUAUACAGCACCCAAGUGCCCUCAGUUUUACAGUGACCAACUUCCGUCCCCAUUACCAGGGCGGAAGGGGCCCCGUACAUCACUAUUUUGUGUGCAUGCUAACACUAGGUAUUAACAGUCUUACAUUUUCUUGUCAGUUUUAAAAAUGCCUUGUUUUAAUCUGCAUUUGGGGAUGAAGAGAAGGCAUGGCUUUUCCCCGUGUUUGUUCACGAAUAUUUCCCCUCGAUUCUGUAGCUUCUUUUUCUUUUCAAAUUGUAUUGAUUUGCGCCCUCUCCCUAUUUUUCUUGAUGAGUCUAGCUAAAAGUUGAUCCAUUUUGUUUAUCUAUCUUUUCAAAGAACCAGACUUUAGUUUUGUUGAUCUUUCCUACUGUUUUUCUCCGUCUCUAUUUCAUUUAUUUCUGCUCUGAUCUUUAUGAUUCCUUUGCUUUUACUAACUUUGGGUUUUGUUUGUUCAUCAGUUUUGAGUCCUUAUAAUUUUUGCCAGGAUUUUCAUCUUGGGCGUCUUUGAGAAUUGCCAGCAGCCUCAUACAGACCCUGAGAAAUCAAUUUCCCCUCAAGAGCUACAAAUGCCAGUGGUGGCUUUCACAGCACAUAAAGUAAGUCUGAGAGAUACUUUACACGCUUCUCAGAGCAGUGAGAAACCAAAGAUGGUGGCCUGGCUGGGCAAGGCUGGAGCUUUCCUCAUUAUUUCUCUACUUUCAUGCCUUUAACUAAUCUUCUGAUUCUGUGUAAGCAUAGCUUUUUUUUUUUUCCUUCUUCUUUAUAAUGGUUCCCCCUCUUUUGAUCUUUUUGAAGGCUUUCCUAGGAAAAUAUGCAUGCUAAAUUUGUCCAAUGUUUAUCUGAAGGUUUAGGUACAAGUGUCCUCAGAAUUGUAACAGUGUAUUGCAGAUUCGAGAACACAAUAAAAAGCAAGCCUGCCAUUACUGAGCCAGAGGUGGCUGGGAUAUAAGGGCCUAAUGGGGCAAGAACUACUCACUCAAUCAAAAGCAAUUAUGUAGUCCAUCCAGCGAAAGAGGGUGCUUAUCUGCUAUUCAGAGGUGGAUUAGAUUAUUUUACAACUAUCUGCAAAUUACUGGAAAACUCUAAAAUGGACAUCGUUUCUUCUCUUUCCCCUUCUUACAGGAAUUUUUUGAUUACCCACGAAUUCUACUGCACCGAGACCCACAGGCCAGAAAAUUCCAUUUAAAAUGCCAAUCAAACCAAGAAGCUGUGCACAGCUUCGGUUUCGGCCGGGGAAGAGCUGAGGAGGAAGGCUGCAGCAGGACACUGACCUCAGGAGCUCCACGGUCUCGGAGUACAUGGAAGAAGACUGGUCAACGUGGGAGUUCCUCUGCUCGCCUUCCUCCGAAGGAGUGGUUCUCAACCCGGGGCAAUUGCACACCCCUCCGCCAGGGUACCCCUGGCAACAUCUGGAGACGCUUUUUGGUGGUCACCCCCCGGGCCAGGGGCCAUCUAGUGGGCAGAGGCCGGAGAUGCUGGUGGAGAAGAGAAAACGGCACCCAAGGAUCAGGGGACAGUAUCCUCCAAGAGACAAGUCACACCCCUGAAAAGUCAGCUGCAGGGUCCUGCACUGGCUGUGGGCCUCCCUCUGGAAACGUCAUCAGAUGCAGCAGAAAGCUGAGUCUUUUUCUACAGACCUGAGUUU